UGGGCACUUCCUGCUUGUAAUGAGGUCAAGAAUUUACCCUGUUUUCUCUGUUGGACUGUAUCAUGGCAUGAAAUCUGGCAACUGGUCUAUCAAUCUACCAUGCGGAAUGUUUUGGAGUCUCCAAAACGAGAAUUCAACCCUCAGAGGAAGCGUAAAGAGAAAAGAUGUGUUUCUUGGCUGCAUGAAGGUCGGUCAUAAACACAUCCUGGCAGGGAUUCCAGUUAUUCCUAUCAGAGAGGAAACAGAAGCUUUCAUAGGAAGGCC
ensembl:lncRNA